ACCAUCUGUAUAUCAGUACUGCUGGGAAAGUUCCAUUUACCUGCCUAGAAAGGAUAGAGUUUUAAAUCCCAAGUGGGCAGUUGGGUAGAUGAGAGUAGGGUGGACAUUGGAUGUCUGGUCCAAGGGUGAGUGAGGACUUCAAGGACAAUGACUGAUGAUGAGUGAGUUUGUGGCGACCCUGGGCUAUAUCCAAGUAGUCUUUAAGGAAAGAUCAAUCCAUGACGACAUCAUCUCAGAAUGUUGAGAACACAGAGCCGAAUCAGAAGUUGAAAGUGUAACCACCCUUUGUUCCAAACAUGAGUUCCAUCUAAGAAUAAACAGGCUUGAGGCUGUAUAACCCAGUGUGCCUGGGUCAUCAGGAGUGAAUUUAGAGCCUCUGGCUCCUAGGACUCAGUGUGAACAAUGGGGUAGCACACUUCCCAGGACAGACUGUUCCAGGCAGGCCACCAAGCCAGAUACCUUUAAUUACACCCAUUUCCAGGGAGCACUAUUGAGGAAAGAGGAUUGAGGAGGUGGAGGGUGAGUUGGUCAAAUGAUUCAGCCUAUUUUACUCUUUGAGCUGUGUCUUGGUUUUUCAGGAGAUGUUUACAUAUUCCAUGUAGUGGAUUGAAUAAUAUCCCUAAAUUUGUGUCUAUCAGGGACCCCAGAAUAUGACCUCAUUUGGAAUUAGGGUCUAUAUAUAAUUAGGUGAGAAGAGGUUCGUGCUGGAUCAGGGUAAACAAUCCAAUGAUUAUUGUCUUUACAAGAAGAGGGAACAGACAGGAAAGGAAGUCAUAUAAGACAGAGGCAGAGAUUGGAGUGAUACAGCUAACAACCAACAAGUGCCAAGUCUUGCCAGAAGCCACCAGAGCUAGUAAGAGGCACGAGUGUUUUUCCCUAGAGCCUUCAGACGGAGCAUGGCUCUGCUGACACCUUGAUGAUGGACUUCUAAUCUCCAGAACUGUGAGAAAAUAUAUUUGUUUCUUUGUCAUCUAGUUUGUUGUGCGUUGUUAUGGCAGGUCUAGAAAAUGAAUAUAUUUGUUGAGGACAAUGUUGGGAGGGGGUACAAUAUUCAGCUCAUGUGUCUCUUUAAGGUCCUGGGACUAUAGGAUUCCUGUUGCCUGGAAGAUCUGGGGUCUGGAGCUGGCACUUCAUGCUGUGGGCCCUGAUAUGGUCCAAAAAUUAACUAGUAAUUAGUAAAGGUAAUAAAAUGGGUUAUCCCUUUCUUACACGCUUCAUAGUGGCUACCUUGGGAGAAUUUCUUUGUAAAAUCCUUGCUAACCAUUAUCUGAAAGAACAUAAAGACGUGGAUCCUUCGUGAAGACUGCCCUGUGGUUCCUUGAACAGAUGGACAACUAAGAAUGGAUUUUAAAGAAGGCAACAAAAUGAAGAGAAAAACAAGUCCAGUGAGUAAGGACCGCUCCAAUUGGCCGUCUGAGUUAGACAACUGCGAAGGUUUUCCGUGGAUGUUGGAAAGGGGAAGAACAAGGAGAAUGGGAUUUUUCUUCAAAAUUUCAUGACGGAUGGUGGGUACUUAUUAGCUUGAAGUUACUAAGGUUAAGAAUUCCGUUCUAGGAGUUGGGCUGAAAGCUAAGAGAAGCGCUUUGCAGAAUUUGACAGGCAACUGCGAUCUCAGAUCUUCGGGGAUUUUCCAAGCAGGAUGCGGGCGCCCAAAAGGAGGGAAAGUCCGUAGGGCGCACAUGACCCAACUUCUGUUUUAGGUUUCAAAAGCAAGGAGUAAAUACGAUCUAUUAGAGGGCUAGAUAAGGACCCUCAGGUUCCAGGAGGCACACUCGCAAAUUGUUGGCUGAAAAAAAAGGGGGGCUCCACUUCUGCCUUUUCCAAACGCGCUGACAGCCUGGUCGGGACCACCUGUACUCACGGCUCAUACUUCUGCCAAGUCUCUUCCCACAGCUCUCUCCUGUGCUUUCCUAACCCUCCCCGAGUUUCAGUUCCACCGACAGAACAGCGAGGGCGACAGUUUGGUGGCCAAGCAGCCAUCUCCGGGCGCAGACGCUGCACGGCGCCGCACACCUCUCGGCGCGCGCGCCCUAGGCUCCAGCUCCAGGUCGACCACCAGAGAACCGGCGGACCAGUGGUCAGUCCGAGACCCCGGCGGCUGCCACGGCGCCAG